rnacentral:rRNA from 1 species
UAAUACGUAGGUGGCAAGCGUUGUCCGGAAUUAUUGGGCGUAAAGCGCGCGCAGGCGGCUAUGUAAGUCUGAUGUUAAAGCCCGGGGCUCAACCUCGGUUCGCAUUGGAAACUGUGUAGCUUGAGUGCAGAAGAGGAAAGUGGUAUUCCACGUGUAGCGGUGAAAUGCGUAGAGAUGUGGAGGAACACCAGUGGCGAAGGCGACUUUCUGGUCUGUAACUGACGCUGAGGCGCGAAAGCGUGGGGAGCAAACAGGAUUAGAUACCCUGGUAGUCCACGCCGUAAACGAUGAGUGCUAGGUGUUGGGGGUUUCGAUACCCGCAGUGCCGCAGCUAACGCAAUAAGCACUCCGCCUGGGGAGUACGCUCGCAAGAGUGAAACUUAAAGGAAUUGACGG